rnacentral:lncRNA from 1 species
GGGGAGUUGUGCUACAACUUGACCCUUUGAGACUAACUGUGUGCUUGAGUUUGCUUAAUUUAGUCUCAAAGGAGGUUGAAAGGGAAAAGGUGGACUUGGACCAUGCAAGACCUCCACUGCACUCCGAUGAAAGAGUAACUGAUUCCAAGUUCAUCUUUGUACUCUUAUUGCCUUUUUUACUCUUAGUUGAAGAUUUUGGUGAGGCAAUGGGGUUAAAGGGCCAAAAUUGAUCCCGUUUUGGUGCUUGAUGCCAAAGGGGGAGAAAAUAAGGCCAAAGCAAGGAAAUGGAUCAGCUACCACUUGAGAAUUUUGAAAAAGAAGAGUUAGAGUUUUUGUUUGUCAAAAUACUCCUGUUUGUCUCUUAUUGUCAAAAGUUGGUCUCUUGUGGGGGAGAAGGCUUAAUUAUGGGAAAAAGGGGGAGUUUUUGAACUCUUUGAUGAAUUUCUCUUGAAAUAUCUCUCUUUAUGUUUCAACAAGUGUGUUUAGAAAUUGAGUUUGAUUUGCAAAAACAAACCAAGUGGUGGCAAAGAAUGAUCCAUAUAUGUCAAAUCUGAAUCAAAACAAUUUUGAGUUCUUAGUUGAAUUGAUUUUGCACUUGUUCUACUUACUUUAUGUUGUGUUGGCAUAAAUCACCAAAAAGGGGGAGAUUGAAAGGGAAAUGUGCCCUUAGGCCAUUUCUAAGUAUUUUGGUGAUUUAGUGUCCAACACAAGUGCCUAAGUGUUAAAUGGUGGACAAAGUACAAAUCGAGUAUAAAGGUAUGUUUCUUAGACUUAGUACAUUGUUUUAGAGACUAAUGUAUUAUGUCUAAGUGC